GUGGCGCGUAAUGCCAUCGCCUCGUUAGGUGAAGUCCAGGUACGCGAAGGCUUGAUCGCCACCGG
rnacentral:tRNA from 1 species